rnacentral:rRNA from 1 species
UACGAAGGGGACUAGCGUUGUUCGGAAUUACUGGGCGUAAAGCGCACGUAGGCGGAUUUGUUAGUCAGGGGCGAAAUCCCGGGGCUCAACCUCGGAACUGCCUUUGAUACUGCAAGUCUCGAGUCCGAUAGAGGUGGGUGGAAUUCCUAGUGUAGAGGUGAAAUUCGUAGAUAUUAGGAAGAACACCGGUGGCGAAGGCGGCCCACUGGAUCGGUACUGACGCUGAGGUGCGAAAGCGUGGGGAGCAAACAGG